CCUACGGGCGGCUGCAGUGGGGAAUAUUGCGCAAUGGGCGAAAGCCUGACGCAGCCACGCCGCGUGAGCGAUGAAGGCCUUCGGGUCGUAAAGCUCUGUGGGGAGAGAAGAAUAAAGCCUGUGAAGAGCGGGCCUUGACGGUAUCUCCUUAGCAAGCACCGGCUAACUCCGUGCCAGCAGCCGCGGUAAUACGGAGGGUGCAAACGUUGCGGGGGAUCAUUGGGCGUAGACCGCGAGUUAGCGGCGGAGUGAAAGCCCCGGGCUCAACCCGGGAAGUGCAUUCAAAACUGUUUCGCUUGAAUCUCGGAGGGGGUCAGAGAAUUCCCGGUGUAGAGGUGAAAUUCGUAGAUAUCGGGAGGAAUACCAGUGGCGAAGGCGCUGACCUGGACGAAGAUUGACGCUGAGGUGCGAAAGCGCGGGGAGCAAACAGGAUUAGAUACCCCAGUAGUC
rnacentral:rRNA from 1 species